GAAUUUUCUCUACCCGAUCUAUCCAAAAAAUCCUAGAUCUGUCUCCCCAUCAUUACCACACUCGUCGCCACACCACACCAUCACCAUCCUCACCACCAUCACCACAAAACACCGUCUAAUUUUCACCCCAUGGAGAUUGAUGUCCUUCUUCUCUGAUGACAAUAAUAGAUCGACUCUCAUGGUGAGAAGGGGUUGUUGUUGCUUUGGACAUCCGCGCCACG
rnacentral:lncRNA from 1 species